rnacentral:lncRNA from 1 species
AGGCUUUCAGUUUCAGUUUCCCAGAAAGGAGGUGGGCUUUUUUUUUUCACCCUGCUUUAAAAGCCCUUGGGCCCUUCCCAACUGGGUGCCAGCCAACUGUGGCUGCCUGGGACACUCCAUCUUAAGUCCCUGUGCCUCUGCUGUGUGUUACUGAGUGCCUAGGCCGUGCCAGCCUGUAUUCAUCUGUACUAUGACCUGAAGAGGCAGAGGCCAUCAUUGUUGGUCUGGUCUCCACCUGGGGAAACUGAGGUUGCACAGUUGCGUGGUGGAGUGAGGGCAGGGGCAGGGUCUGGGUCUGGGGGCAGGGCCUGGGUCUGACCCCAGGGACUGGUUUUUGUGUUCAGGUGUCUCUGUGGUGACGAGCAGGGCUUCAUCCAGUGCCUCUGUCCCCACCGAGGGGACUGUGGGAGCCAUGGAGGGUGUGUGAGCAACAGGUGAGACUGGAGCCAGCUGAAAACUGGGAGACCGACCCAGCCAACAAACAAUGUCGGUCUCUGUCCUGGCACCCGCAGGAAACAAGCUCCUACUUCCAGAAAAAGUGCUCCUGGGACUCCAGGAUACCAAGCAUCUGGACGCGGUGGUACAUGCCACCACUUAGGCAGGAGGAUCACUCGAGCCCAGAAGAUCAAGACUAGUGUGAGCAACA